UACGUAGGGUGCAAGCGUUAAUCGGAAUUAUUGGGCGUAAAGCGCUCGCAGGUGGUUCGAUGCGUCGUGCGUGAAAGCCCCCGGCUCAACUGGGGAGUGUCGUGCGAUACGGUCGAACUGGAGGCCAGUAGGGGGAUGCGGAAUUCCGGGUGUAGUGGUGGAAUGCGUAGAUAUCGCUUGGAACGCCGAAGGUGAAAACAGGCUGCUGGGGUUGCGCUGACGCUGAGACACGAAAGCCAGGGGAGCAAACGGG
rnacentral:rRNA from 1 species